UACGUAGGGUGCGAGCGUUGUCCGGAAUUAUUGGGCGUAAAGAGCUCGUAGGCGGUUUGUUGCGUCGGCUGUGAAAUCCCGAGGCUAACCUCGGGUCUGCAGUCGAUACGAGCAAACUAGAGUGUUGCAGGGGAGACUGGAAUUCCUGGUGUAGCGGUGAAAUGCGCAGAUAUCAGGAGGAACACCGGUGGCGAAGGCGGGUCUCCGGGCAACAACUGACGCUGAGGAGCGAAAGCGUGGGGAGCGAACAGG
rnacentral:rRNA from 1 species